rnacentral:tmRNA from 1 species
GGCCUUCAAUUCUUAACCGGGGACGCCUAUAUUUAGCGUGUUCGGCUUGUCCGGACUAUGGCGAUAAACGGCUGUGCAAUAAGCGGACCGGACCCGGGGGCGGUACCCGGCGCCUCCACCAAAAGCCCAUCGAUGCCCGAUUGCGGGCGGUGGGUUUCUGUGGGGGCGAAACAGGAUCGACGGACGUGUAAAGACUGACCUUUCGCCCGGUAUGGUAUCCGCCGUCAUCGGGCUGAUCGUACAAGUGCCAACGAUAAUGAAAUGGUACUCGCUGCCUAAUUAACUAGGUAAGCGCGGUUUCGGUGGGUGUACCGGGCAACAGAGACACCCACC